rnacentral:rRNA from 1 species
UACGUAGGGGGCAAGCGUUGUCCGGAAUCAUUGGGCGUAAAGAGCGUGUAGGCGGCCCGGUAAGUCCGCUGUGAAAGUCCAGGGCUCAACCCUGGGAUGCCGGUGGAUACUGUCGGGCUCGAGUCCGGAAGAGGCGAGUGGAAUUCCUGGUGUAGCGGUGAAAUGCGCAGAUAUCAGGAGGAACACCAAUGGCGAAGGCAGCUCGCUG